CGCAGAGCCAGAGAGGGAAAUCACUUUCAUCUGGAGAAGCGCGUGGCAAAUGCAGCUGUCCUUAAAAAAAGGAUAGAUUUGAGUUGGCCUGAUGGAGAGAUCUUCCAGACUGCUCCGGCCCAUGGAGGAUGCAGAGCAUCACAUAAGAUCAAACAUUGAUAAGCCAGUACUUUACCAGUGUUUUAUCAAAUUCUUUAAAGGACGAGGAGUUUUUGCCACUGAAUUCAUAUCCAAAGGAGACUUUGUUGUGGAGUACCGAGGUGAACUGCUUCCACAACAGGAGAGCGAGGUCCGAGCUGAUCAGUACAAUCAUUCUGAAAAGGUGCUUAUUUUCAAUGGAAAGGAAGAACAUGGUGCAUUGAUGCAUCUGAAGAGGACUCCUCCCUUGGGAGACUCGUUAAUGAUGAUCACAAAAGACACAAUCUCAAAAUGAAGGCCAUACAAGCAAACGAUGAGCCACACUUGUGCCUCUUCGCGACUCGAGAUAUUGUAGCUGGCGAAGAGUUGACUUAUAGUUUUGGUGAU